rnacentral:rRNA from 1 species
UACGUAGGGUGCAAGCGUUAAUCGGAAUUACUGGGCGUAAAGCGCACGUAGGCGGCUUUUUAAGUCAGGGGUGAAAUCCUGGAGCUCAACUCCAGAACUGCCUUUGAUACUGGGAAGCUUGAGUCCGGGAGAGGUGAGUGGAACUCCGAGUGUAGAGGUGAAAUGCGCAGAUAUCAGGAGGAACACCAAUGGCGAAGGCAGCACUCUGGGACGUGACUGACGCUGAGACGCGAAAGCGUGGGGAGCAAACAGG